GACGAACCGUCCAAACGUUAUUCGGAAUCACUGGGCUUACAGAGUUCGUAGGCGGUCUGGAAAGUUGGGUGUGAAAUCCCUCGGCUCAACCGAGGAACUGCGCUUGAAACUACCAGACUCGAGGGAGAUAGAGGAAAGCGGAACUGAUGGUGGAGCGGUGAAAUGCGUUGAUAUCAUCAGGAACACCGGUGGCGAAGGCGGCUUUCUGGGUCUUACCUGACGCUGAGGAACGAAAGCCAGGGGAGCGAAC
rnacentral:rRNA from 1 species